rnacentral:sRNA from 1 species
CGUGACCCAGGGUAGCCACUGGGAUUUAUGAAGAGGCAAAAGUGGGGAGAUUUGAGAAUUUAGGAAUGUCAGGAGUGGGCAUACACAGAGCUAUCUCUGGGCACCCUCACCCACUUUGCACAGGCUUUUGCACAGUGGAUGAUUGUGCUCCUGGAAGAGAUCCAGGGAGCACAAAGUACGAGACCUGCUUCUGCCCAAGAGGAUCAGAAACUGAGACCUAUGUGGGUCUCGGGAUGGCACUAAACCACUCGUGAGAAAUUCACCACCAUAAUCUCAUCACCUCCCACCAGGCCCCACCUCCAAAACUGGGGAUUAUAUUUCAACAUGAGAUGUGGGUGUGAACACAGAUUCAAACUAUAUCAUUCUUCCCAUGGCCCCUCCCAAAUCUCAUGUCUGUCUUACAUUUCAGAAUACAAAUAUGCCUUCCCAAUCAUCUCCCAAAGUCUCAACUCAUUCCAGCGUUAACUCAAAGACAAAAAUUCAAAGUCUCAUCUGAAACAAGGUGUUGCCAAAGGAGAUUAUUAUUUGAGUCAGAGGACUGGGAGAAGCAGACCUACCCUCGAUCUGGGUGGGUGUCAUCUAGUCAGCUGCCAGUGUGGCUAGAAUGAAGCAGGCAGAAGUUGGAAAGAGCAGACCUGCUGAGUCUUCUGGCCCUCAUCGUUCUCCCGUGCUGGAUUCUUCUGGCCCUCAAACAUCAGACUCCACGUUCUUCAGCUUUUGGACUCAUGGACUUACACCAGUGGUGUGCCAGGGCCUCUUGA